UGGGGAAUAUUGCACAAUGGGCGAAAGCCUGAUGCAGCAACGCCGCGUGAGUGAUGAAGGCCUUCGGGUUGUAAAGCUCUGUCUUUUGGGACGAUAAUGACGGUACCAAAGGAGGAAGCCACGGCUAACUACGUGCCAGCAGCCGCGGUAAUACGUAGGUGGCAAGCGUUGUCCGGAUUUACUGGGCGUAAAGGAUGCGUAGGCGGAUUUUUAAGUGAGAUGUGAAAUACCCGGGCUUAACUUGGGUGCUGCAUUUCAAACUGGGAAUCUAGAGUGCGGGAGAGGAGAAUGGAAUUCCUAGUGUAGCGGUGAAAUGCGUAGAGAUUAGGAAGAACACCAGUGGCGAAGGCGAUUCUCUGGACCGUAACUGACGCUGAGGCAUGAAAGCGUGGGUAGCAAACAGGAUUAGAUACCCUGGUAAUCCACGCCGUAAACGAUGAGUACUAGGUGUAGGAGGUAUCGACCCCUUCUGUGCCGCAGUUAACACAAUAAGUACUCCGCCUGGGAAGUACGAUCGCAAGAUUAAAACUCAAAGGAAUUGACGGGGUCAUAGCUG
rnacentral:rRNA from 1 species